AUCAUCAAAUUUCGAUUAACUUGGAUGCAGCGGUAGUCUCAAAAAGAUUUAGAUCUUCGUGAAAACCCUAACGGGAAGACCAUUACGCUAGAGGUCGAGUCAUCUGACACCAUCGACUAUGUGAAAGCGAAGAUCCAGGGAUCUCACCGGACCAGCAGCCUUUGAUUUUCGCCGGGAAGCAGCUCGAGGACGGCCGCAGUUCUUAUCAAAUAAAAAAAAAGUUUCGAUAAACUUGAUUUGUGCAGUUGGUCUCGUCUGCUCUUCAAAGAUGUCGUUUAUCAGAUACAGAUCCUCCGAUUACGUCUAUUUCGAUCGCAGAUACGGGAUCGACGAAGCGGCUGCUACUCCUCUGCAGGCAGUGAAUAGGGGUGACUCUGACAGCAAAGUUAACACAACACGGAAACUCUUUUCCUUUCUCUCUAAUUUUAGUGUUUAGGUAUCCUUUUUAUUUUAUUUUAACAAUUUUAGUUAUAUUCAACCUUCCUUUUGCUUUUUCUGAUCUCUCAAAUUCCAAACCUUCGGAAUCCAAACACAUUUUUUGAACCUCGCCACUCUCUCGUCUAGAUCGUUCUUCCUUCUUUUAGCCGUAGGAAGAAUGUCGAUGACAGAGGCAGUGACAAAGAUCCAUCCAUAGAUGAUAGAUUAGUUAGUGUUUUGUUUCCCUUUACAAUUGUCUCUAUAGGGUUUUGGAUGAUUUAGAUUUUAGACCUCUAUAAUGGGGAAUUGCUUUGGAUCUUCCCCCAAGAAUGAAGAUGUUAAUGUUGACGACUCCUCAGUGAACUCCAAACCCUUUUCACGUUUAUGCUUUGAUUGAGAGAGGAGUUUGAAGUAAUUUAGGUAACAAGAAGAGAACAAAAGUUUUAAUUUUUUUGGUUUGUUAUGGUGGGGGCGAUGGCAAACAAUGGAAGAAUCCGGUCAGCUUCUCCGGUGAUUAAUGGGUCAAAAGAUCUGACUCCGAACAGCGCUCCAGCGAGCACAACGGGAUCUGAAUAUGGUCCUGUUGAGUUCACAAGAGAUUACAUUGAAACUCUUCUUAAUGAACAAAUCAAGUACAAGAGCAAAUUCAACUACAAGGAGAGAUGUGAGAACAUGAUGGA